rnacentral:sRNA from 1 species
UGACUCUGAGAGAGAAAAAUGAACAAC